GAUGAAGAACGUAGCGAAAUGCGAUAAGUAAUGUGAAUUGCAGAAUUCAGUGAAUCAUCGAAUCUUUGAACGCACAUUGCGCCCGCCAGUAUUCUGGCGGGCAUGCCUGUUCGAGCGUCAUUUCAACCAUCAAGCCCCAGGCUUGUGUUGGGGACCUGCGGCUGCCGCAGGCCCUGAAAACCAGUGGCGGGCUCGCUGUCACACCGGGCGUAGUAGAUUUUAUCUCGCUCUGGGCGUGCUGCGGGUUCCGGCCGUUAAAAAACCCUUUUAACCCAAGGUUGACCUCGGAUCAGGUAGGAAUACUCGCUGAACUUAAGCAUAUCAAUAAGCGGAGGA
rnacentral:misc_RNA from 1 species